GACGAACGCUGGCGGCGUGCUUAACACAUGCAAGUCGAACGAUGAAGCUGGAGCUUGCUCUAGCGGAUUAGUGGCGAACGGGUGAGUAACACGUGAGCAAUCUGCCCUUGACUCUGGGAUAACUGCGGGAAACUGUAGCUAAUACCGGAUACUUUCACCGGGGGGCAUCCUCUGGUGAUGAAAGAAUUUCGGUCAAGGAUGAGCUCGCGGCCUAUCAGCUUGUUGGUGAGGUAACGGCUCACCAAGGCGACGACGGGUAACCGGCUUGAGAGGGUGAGCGGUCACACUGGGGCUGAGAAACGGCCCAGACGACGACGGGAAGCAGCAGUGGGGAAUAGAGCACAAUGGGCGCAAGCCUGAUGCAGGAACGCCGCGUGAGGGAUGAAGGCCUUCGGGUUGUAAACCUCUUGUGGCAGGGAAGAAGCGAAAGUGACGGUACCUGCAGAAAAAGCACCGGCUAACUACGUGCCAGCCGCCGCAGUAA
rnacentral:rRNA from 1 species